AUUUUGAGGCAAAAAAACUCUCUUAUGCCUUACAGGAACUUUUGUAAGGCCUCUUUUGCCUUAUAGGAAUUAUUUCAUGAAUUCGAACUUUCACAUUAGAAAACUAUAAAGUGAUAUUUGAAAACAAAUACUCAUGUAUUUCAUUCUGUUUAUUUGCUUAAUUCCAUAGAGUCUAUGCUAAAUAUUAUUCAACAUAAAAAGAGUAGUUUUGUCUGAAUCAUCUACCUAAAGGUAAACCCAAAACGACUUGAUGUAGGGUACAAAAGCAUUUUAUAGUGGAGGGAUGCUGAUGUUGGAUUCUUAUUGUGCAACUAAUUUGGACUCCUCUAAUGUACAAUCGAGAAGCAUCGAUUGUCUUCUUUCUUUCCACCCAAGUUUAUCCUUCUUUGCUUUCAUCUCAUUUUUGCUCUGCUCUUUCUGACAAAGCAGUGUGCAACAUAUCAAGGACAUCGGUUAGAAUCAGGUUAUAAGCUAAAGAAGAUCACAGAGGAAUCAGCUUCACAUUGGAAGCAUGGACUUUGAAGACUAGGCACUUACCAGCACAUGGAGUCGGUUGUGCUGAUACUACAAUCUGCACUGUGUGUAGAUCCCGGAGUAGCAGCUUUUGGACCGUAGAUUGGGUGGCUGCCUUCAGUCCACGCGGAGAUCCAAGGUAGUUCUGUAGGUGUCCGCAGGCCCUGGCGUCUCCCUCUAUCCCUUUACUCAUGUUUCAUCUACUUAGUUCAGAAACAAUGUAUUUUUUAUCUUUCAGAAUUUGUAUUUAGUAUUCUUAGAUCGUCUGUGAAACUGUGACACCAGUUCUGGGUGUUCGAGGCUCAAACAGUUGUAUUUGAUAUAUAUUUCAGAUAAGUAUAUUGCAUUUCU